UACGAGCGCCUCGAGCGUUAUCCGGAUUCACUGGGCGUAAAGGGUGCGUAGGUGGCUUGACAAGUUUGAUGUGAAAUCUCCGGGCUUAACCCGGAAAAUGCAUUGAAUACUGUAGAGGCUUGAGGUUUGGAGGGGGGAUUGGAAUUCUCGGUGUAGCAGUGAAAUGCGUAGAUAUCGAGAGGAACACCAGUGGCGAAGGCGAGUCCCUGGACAACACCUGACACUGAGGCACGAAAGCCGGGGGAGCAAACAGG
rnacentral:rRNA from 1 species